rnacentral:misc_RNA from 1 species
GCUUCUUGGCCAAAAAGUGAAGAUGUGUUCUUUCAUGGGCAUAAUUGGACCACGGCCACCAAACAAAAUGAAAUUAAACAACAAAAACACUGUAAAAAUUGAACAAAACGUUAAAUUUCACACCAAGGAUAAUACAAGAGGUCUUAUAAGAACCGGGAUCAAAAUUGAACGAUGGGCGUGGUACCGCCCACAUUUCGGUGAAAACCUAUAGCUCAAUAUAUAUAUAAUUUCUUUUGCCCCCAUAUGCCUAAUUGAAAUAUUGACUUUAUUCCCGUAAAUAUCGGACUACAUACAUAUGUGUGAGUUAUUUUAAUAAAAUUGCGAGAGUUUGUUUUUCUAACAACGAUGCAUCUUUGUGCUUAAAUGGGGUAAAAUCUUGCCUUGGACCUCACAUAACUUACAAACUAUGUGCACAUUGAGGUAUUUCCCUGGCAAGUUGUAAGAGUAUGACAUAUUCGGUUACACCUGAACUUAGCCCUUCCUUACUUGUUAAGAUACUUUGAACCUUUGAACACGCUCUUUUCGUCUCUAAACCAUGUUCUCAUUUCUUUGAGUCGCUGAUAUCGGAUAGCUGCAGCAUAUAGAUAAAUACAAUCGAAAUGGUCAAAUACAUGUCCUUGUACGCUGUUCUUAUGUCGUGUAUAUUGUUUUAGUUACUAACAAUCAUAACUGAGGAUAUUAAAUUGUUAACAAUAAUAGUUAAUAUGCUAUUCGCUACCGUUACUGUUACGUUACGUCUUCAGCAAUAAGUUUGAAGAAGUUAAUUGAAUUAAACGAAAUCGAUUUUUUUAACAGAUUUCUAUCGAUCUUAACAACAAUUAUUUGAAGCCGGCGGCACUAGUGUUCUUUCUUUUUUCUUAAAUGUACAAUACAAUUUUGUUCAUUAAUUUAGAGUUAUGCAAUACCCUUGUACAUGGCUGUAAAUUGCAUUCUCUUAUUCUUAAUUAACUGCCAUCACUAACAAAAGCAAAUCAGCUGUGCUUUGUUUACGUUGCAUAAAAGCUCAUAUUUGUUUUUAUAUUAGAUAAUAGUAAAACUCUACUGUGAUAACAAAUAUAAUGUUAUAAAUGGUCCUAUGGAUUAUCACUAUUACACUCCUAAAAUUAUAUAAGUAAAUUAUGAAAUGAAGUAUUAGUAAAAAAAUUUCGACAACUUCAAAAAUAAGUGAAUUUAUUAUGCAUUUCAAUGGGUGAUAAAGGAUGGAAAAGUGUUUUAUGCGGAGGCAUGGCUGGUGGUACUGACGUACUUAUUACAUUUCCCACAGAAUACAUAAAAACACAACUGCAAUUAGAUGAAAAAGGUGACAAAAAGAAAUAUAGCGGGGUGAUAGAUUGCUUUAGGAAAACUACAAAACAAUAUGGUGUUUUAGGGCUAUAUCGUGGAAUGAGCACAUUGCUUUAUGGAAGCAUGCCAAAAACUGCCGUAUGCUUUGGAUCCUUUGAAUUUUUCAAGUCACAUCUUGUUGACGAAAAGAAGUCGCUCUCAACAUUUAAUAGCUUCUUAUGUGGUUUGGGCUCCGGAAUAGUGGAAUCCAUACUUGUGACAACACCAAUGGAAACUUUGAAAGUCAAACUUAUAAAUGAUCGGCGUAGUGAGAAACCAAAAUUUCAUGGAAUGUUUCAUGCUGCACGUCUCAUUAUAAAAACAGAAGGUUUUCAUGGCAUUUACAUGGGUCUUACACCGACGUUGCUUCGACAGUGUUCAAAUCAUGCAAUACGAUUCCCUAUAAUGGAAACAUUUAAAAAUUUCUAUAAAGGUGAUGACCCAACUCGGAAGCCGUCUAAAUGGAUGAUAGCUAUGGUGGGAUUUAUGGCCGGCGGUACUGCUGUGCUUGCCAAUACUCCCGUUGAUACAUUAAAAACACGCAUGCAGGGCUUGGAAGCGUCUAAAUAUAAAAACAUAUUCGAUUGCAUCUUGAAAAUAUCUCGUAACGAGGGAGUAUUAGCACUCUAUAAAGGCAUGGUGCCACGACUAAUACGUUUAUCUCUACAAGCUAGCGUAAUUUUUACACUUUACGAUGUAUAUAUGGAAGCUUUUGAUGCAUUGGAAGAAAUGUUGAAAGGAAACAGAGGGAAAAGUUGAUUAGGUGUUGACUUUAAUUUUGAGUUCCAACCGAUGUUGGAUCUGCUGUAAUAUAUUUGUGUUGUUUAAUGGUUAGAAUAUUGCGAGAUUAUAUUGUUUGAUUACUCAAACAGUGGUUUGCUGAAUUCAUUUAGUGCUAAAAAAAUUAAAAAUAAUUCAUACUCGUAAUUAAAAAUAAAUGUCAAAUUUAAUUUUUGGAUAUACACAAAGCUGUAGCUUUUGAUAACAAGAAUUUUUGAUACUAGAUACAAAUGUUUAAAUUAUAAAUAAAUAUUAAAUUUAUAAUGAUGAUGUUUAAAAAACAAAUACUGCAUGGGAACUAUUUUUUGGUACAAUAAUAAAAACAAAGAAAGAAAAAUACUUAGAAUUGGAGCUGUAUUGAUCUUAUUUCCACGAACAGUUGUUGUUAUUGUAGCGGAGAAUUCUGUCGAGUUGAUAGUCCUUGGCCGAAUAAAAGUCCGGGUCCGUUCCGGAUACGUAGAGCCGACUGUCGGGGGAACGGAACUGCGCAUCCAGAGACGCAGAUGAUCCGGAGCAAACCACUGAUAAUCGUUUUUGCUAGCAAGGAAUGAUCGAAAUGACAAAUAGGCAUAAGAUUAGUAUAACUAGAUUGUUAUCACUUUAGCGACCACAAUUCAGAAUUGCGGACAGUUAUUUUGAAUAUUAUAAAUAUUUGAAGUUAUGAGAGGCAUCAGUUUUGAAAACGUGAAUUGUGGGAUAAACACUUUAAAGUUUUGAAAUAUGAUUUACACGGUCCAUUUUGCUCCAAUCGACUUGAAAUUUAGACACAAUCAUAUUGAGAUUUAAAGCCUAAAAUGCUUAUAAAAAAUAUUAAGAAAAUCAAAACUCUAUUUCCCCCUUAACGAUAUUGCCUUUUUUAUACUCUCUUUUACCGGUUUUACUACUUAUUAAAUUUCCUACAAAACUAGGUUUUCCGAUUUAUGAUUUUUUUCAUUGAUUGAGUUAAGCUUGAAAAACAAAAAAAUCUUGUGAACGGCUACGUUUACGAAAAAUCGUACGAGAUCUUUUGGUGGAGCAUUGAAUUGAACCCUAAUAUGAAAAUUGUUUAACUCUAAUUUUGAAGAAUUAUUUAACAGAAAACUAUCCCAAGAAAGACUUCCAAUAUAAUUUUAGCUUCAAAAAUACCUUUACCAUUGUAUGUAAUUUUUGCACUAAAAAGUUUUUAAUAAUCGAUAUAUGGAAUUAAUUAAUGAAAAGUUUGAAAAUAAAACAUUUUAAUAAUGAAUGUGUCCGCACCGCGCAUAGAAUUUU